rnacentral:rRNA from 1 species
AACGUACGCUGGCGGCACGCCUAAUACAUGCAAGUCGAACGGAGUAGUAAUACUUAGUGGCAGACGGGUGAGUAACAUGUGGGUAUCUUCCCUUUGGUGAGGAAUAACACGAGGAAACUUGUGCUAAUACCUCAUAAGUCUUUACGGAGAAAGCUUUAUGCGCCAAUGGAUGAGCCCGCACUUGAUUAGUUUGUUGGUAGGGUAAUGGCCUACCAAGACUGUGAUCAAUAGCUGAUUUGAGAGGAUGAUCAGCCACAUUGGGACUGAGACACGGCCCAAACUCCUACGGGAGGCAGCAGUAGGGAAUCUUGCACAAUGGAGGAAACUCUGAUGCAGCGAUGCCGCGUGAGUGAAGAAGGCCCUUGGGUUGUAAAGCUCUUUCGUCGGGGAAGAAAAUGACUGUACCCGAAUAAGAAGGUCCGGCUAACUUCGUG